CCCAGUCGAACCCGACGUCCCACAGGAGC
rnacentral:piRNA from 1 species